UAUAGAGGGGGCAAGCGUUGUUCGGAAUUACUGGGCGUAAAGGGCGCGUAGGCGGCCUGCUAAGUCGAACGUGAAAUCCCUGGGCUCAACCCAGGAACUGCGUCCGAUACUGGUUGGCUUGAAUCCGGGAGAGGGAUGUGGAAUUCCAGGUGUAGCGGUGAAAUGCGUAGAUAUCUGGAGGAACACCGGUGGCGAAGGCGACAUCCUGGACCGGUAUUGACGCUGAGGCGCGAAAGCCAGGGGAGCAAACAGG
rnacentral:rRNA from 1 species